ensembl:lncRNA
AUGCGUGUGUGUGUGUGUGUGUGUGUGUUUGUGACCAGGCUCCUCCUUUGUUUUGUCCUCAGUUCUCUCUUUGAGUUUGGGGAGAAGUUUGACUUCUUGACCUCAGGCCAGCAGAACAACCCCCUCUCCUACCAGCUGCAGACCUCAUACUCCUCCACCCAGCACCAACCUCAAGCAUCUCUGCCCUGCAUGACCUACCUCACCCCCUCCCCCUACCUCCCCCCCAACCCUCCAGAAACCAACCCGACCUCGUACCUGACCUUUGGCCCCGGAGGGAACUCCACUGGGAUGGUGACCUACUCGACCGGAGGCCACGCGUACUUUCAGUCGCAGAGCACCGGACAAAUACUUCUGCAGUCGGCCGGUCAUCACGGGGGGAUCGCCGCGUACCAGUCGUACCCGUGGGGCAGCAUGUACAGUCAACCAGCCCUCCACCAGCGGACUCCGUGCCCUCCAAUUUACCCCGGCAGCUUGGAAGGUGCUCGAGAUCACCAGCCCUCCUCCACCACCCUGCUUCCGCCUUCCUUCUUCGCCCAGGGGGAUCAGGGCUCCUCGCAUGCAAACCCUGAAUGCUCCUCUCACAACCAUACGCACAACUCCACCACCAGCAGCACCAGCAGCAGCACCGUCCUCCCCCCAGUGUCCUCCCUGCGGCCUUCUCGCCUCCGAGCAGAGAUCACUCCAGCCAAAGCUGCCUCCCUGCUGUCUUCUCAGGUCAGCCCUGCCUCUCCAGACAGCUCUCCGGGGCCCCCUGGUGCCAAAAUGGAGUAUGACAGCCCUCGAGAGAUUCCCAGCCACUUCCACUGCGAAUUCUCCCCCAUACACUUUUGAAUACAUGCAUGUUUGUGUGAGAGAGUGUGAUCAAGGUAUUGGUGUUGAUAUAUCCUGUGUAAAUGGGAGUAUUUCUGUAUUUGUAUUACUGUUAGGAUGUCGUUAGUAGAAAUAUUAUAAGUUGCCUGGGCUGCAUUUAGCUCGGCUGCAAUAAAUGCACAUUGUUCUGUCGAUAUUUUUUUACUUUUGCGUUAAACUCUCUUGAUUUAAAUCAGCAGUCUCCAUCAUAUUAUUAUUCAACAUAUCAUUGCACCAGGGAACAGUGCUUUUAUUGAGUCAAUUUAGUUACCAGCCCGACCGAGGGGCGUGGGAGGUGGGUUAAUAGGCGAGUGUAAUUGUUUUCCUCAUCCCCAUCAGUAUAUCCACUUGUGUUCACAAAUCAUAAACAUUUUUAAUUAAGUUUUUUUAAUCCAGUCACACCCAUGAGCCUUGAUUACAGAAAAGAGUCUGCACAAUUAUGCAGACGUUACAGAAGUUUUACAUUAUAUAACUUUAUUAAAUCAACUAAAUGUCAAUAAGAAGAAAAAUAACUCACUGAAGUUGAAGGGUUAAUUUAGAAGCUUUGCUUUCAACAGCCCCGUAGUUAAUACCCUUUUUGUACAUGAUGAAAAAGUUCUGUAUAGUUACUACACAGAUGUAUACAGGCGUUUAAUAUAUUACACUAAAUUAUGAACUAUAGUUUUCUUCAAAUGUUACCAUUGAGUCUUGUUUGCUUAACAGUCCACGGCCCCGAGGCGGCUCACCGCUGACAUGCUGCUCAUUUGUCUUCAGGCCACUUGAGAGCGCUGUUUCGUCACGACAGACGACCGCCUGCCGGGAGCUAUUUUGACAGCAUGUCAGGUUCUCGGACGCGUGCAACAGUCACUGAUCCGGUGGAGGGGCGAGCGGGCCGAGUCCUCUCCAGAAUGGAGGUAUCAAUCGCUGAUACAACCCAAGUCCUUAAUCGCUGUUGCCAUUUGCGGCGUCCUCUUGUUUAUUCUCCUCCUCUUUAACGAGCAGAAGGCAUCUUUCUCUGAAACAAGCAGAGACGACGGAGACCAUCGUGGCAUUUCCCCUCUCAGUAGUGCAAGGAAAACCCCAAACGUUCCUGAUUUACCUCUAGUUAGUAUUCCUGUUUCGCGCCGCUGCUUUGUGUAAAGUAAAGAUUGAAGUAAAGCUUGGAUGACGAUGAUGUGGGAGGAAGAGAAGGAACUCUGGAGGAGGCAGGGACCAGGGGAGCAGAUGAAGGGGGGAGUGAGGAGGGAGGGGGGGGGUUCAGUGUGUCUCUGGGAACAAGGGAGGAGAGCCGAGAUGAGCUGUUGCUAUGGCAGGAGGAGAGGAUGAUGGUUGGGCUCUGCCAGCAGGCGUGGGAGGGGAGCAGAAGAUGGGGAUGAGGGAAGAGUGCUUGUAGCACGGGGGGGUUUUGGGAGGAACAGGACUGCUGGUUAUGUAACUGCUGU